rnacentral:rRNA from 1 species
AUUGAACGCUGGCGGCAGGCCUAACACAUGCAAGUCGAGCGGCAGCGGGAAAGUAGCUUGCUACUUUUGCCGGCGAGCGGCGGACGGGUGAGUAAUGCCUGGGAAAUUGCCCAGUCGAGGGGGAUAACAGUUGGAAACGACUGCUAAUACCGCCUACGCCCUACGGGGGGAAAGCAGGGGACCUCCGGGCCUUGCGCGAUUGGAUAUGCCCAGGUGGGAGUAGCUAGUUGGUGAGGUAAUGGCUCACCAAGGCGACGAUCCCUAGCUGGUCUGAGAGGAUGAUCAGCCACACUGGAACUGAGACACGGUCCAGACUCCUACGGGAGGCAGCAGUGGGGAAUAUUGCACAAUGGGGGAAACCCUGAUGCAGCCAUGCCGCGUGUGUGAAGAAGGCCUUCGGGUUGUAAAGCACUUUCAGCGAGGAGGAAAGGUCGGUAGCUAAUACCUGCUGGCUGUGACGUUACUCGCAGAAGAAGCACCGGCUAACUCCGUGCCAGCAGCCGCCGUAAUAC